rnacentral:rRNA from 1 species
AUUGAACGCUGGCGGCAUGCCUUACACAUGCAAGUCGAACGGUAACGCGGGGCAACCUGGCGACGAGUGGCGAACGGGUGAGUAAUGCAUCGGAACGUGCCCAGUAGUGGGGGAUAGCCCGGCGAAAGCCGGAUUAAUACCGCAUACGACCUACGGGUGAAAGCGGGGGACCGCAAGGCCUCGCGCUAUUGGAGCGGCCGAUGUCAGAUUAGGUUGUUGGUGGGGUAAAGGCCUACCAAGCCGACGAUCUGUAGCUGGUCUGAGAGGACGACCAGCCACACUGGGACUGAAGCCCGGCCCAGACUCCUACGGGAGGCAGCAGUGGGGAAUUUUGGACAAUGGGCGCAAGCCUGAUCCAGCCAUGCCGUGUGCGGGAAGAAGGCCUUCGGGUUGUAAACCGCUUUUGUCAGGGAAGAAACGCUCUGGGCUAAUACCCCGGGGUAAUGACGGUACCUGAAGAAUAAGCACCGGCUAACUACGUGCCAGCCGCCGCUGUAA